GUAGUAUUUGUCUUGGUCCCCAGCACCUCCGCAAGCCUUUCGCCGUCUUCUGCGUAGAGUUCUCUGUCUUCGAGCUCUAUUAGAGACUCUAAAAGUUCUUCACUUUUGUUAACUUUCUUACCUUGUACGUUUAACAACUAAGAUUUGACAUUUUGAUGCAUCUGGAUUGCUGUACUUUUGCUGCUUAGAGCAGCUAAGAUCUCAGCAAAAAACGUUCUUCGCUUUCACUGAUUUGUGUGCGAGGUUGUUUAUUGCUUACUGGGCAGUGGGUUCUUAAACGUCUCCUCAAUUCAUACAAUUUUCCCCUUUUAUCUUACUCAAAGUGUUUCUAUUUUGUUUUUGUUGUAUGACUAUUAGUUAAUUCUAAUAAUCUGCUGUUGUUUUGUAUGGAUAUGUGUUUUUGAAUUAAAGAUUAAAAAAGUGAAAAAGAUUUAGUUUUUUAAGUUAAAGGAUCUUCAUUUGAAGGGUUUUUUUGAUCUUCAGGAGUCAUUAAAGAAUUGGUUUGACUGAUGCUUUAUGCUUAACUAAGUUAAUUUUUAUAUGUCAUCUUACUGAUAAAGACUUGAGUUUAUAACCAAAUAUUUUAUCUUGCAAAUAAUAACUGUAAAAGCAGUGCCCUUUCAUCCCCUGUCAAUUAAUAAGCGGGUUGGCCUGUAGUGGGAUUUUGUCUACCAUUCAUGUCUCCAAAGCCUUGCUGGCUACAUAUGGUUUUUGGGUUCUUUGCACUUGUGCCGUUUGUGCGGAAGAUAUCAAUAUUGGGGCAUCUCUGAGGAACUCGGUGUCUGCAGCCCGUCAAUAUGCCUCUCUCUGAGCUCUAUCGGAUGGCCAGUGGGAAGAUUGAUUCGAGUCAAGAGAAAAACCCCUCUUGUUCUACUGAACUAUCUUUCAUACCUGAGAAUGAUUUUGUUGAGCUUGUGUGGGAAAAUGGUCAGAUUAUGGUGCAAGGCCACUCCAAUCGAGCUAGAAGGGCCCCUAUUUGUGGCAGUUUACCUUCUCACCGUUUGCAAUCUCAUAUCCCGAGAACUAGAUAUAAAGAAAUAGGGAACGGCACCUCUACGAUAAAGAUUGGGAAUUUUGGAACAAUGGACUCUGUUGUGAAUGAAAUUCCAAUAUCGGUGCCCUCUGGUGAAAUAGGUUUGAACCAAGAUGAUGAUGUGGUUCCCUGGUUGAAUUAUUCCAUCGAUGGAUCUUUACAACAUGACUAUUGUUCAGAUUUUUUGCCUGAAUUAUCUGGUGUCACAGUUAAUGAGCAAUCUCUUGAUAGGAGAAGUGUUGCUAGUCAAUUAAUUAGAGACUCACAUGCGGUACCUUUGCAUUGUUUGGAACAAGAAAGUGUGUCAAAGGUUGCCAUGGCAGGGGGCAGGGAGGAUAAUAGGCCUCGUAGUAGUGCCAGUCGGUUAUAUCCAUCAUCAUCACAGUCACAGCAAUGCCAAAUUUCCUCUUCACAUCUUAGAUCUAAAACAUCUGACAAUUUUGACAAUAUGAGCAAUGCCACUCAUAAUGUCAUUUGUGGAGAUUCAGUUAGGGUUUCAACAUCAGCAGGUGGUUUUGCCAGCAGUAAGAUGCAGAGGGAAGAUCCAGCACUGCCUACUAGCAGCUCUGGUUACAUGAAUUUCUCUCAUUUCUUGCGGCCUGCUACUUCCUUUAAAGCUAGUAUUCGGAAUAUUGGUGGCAGAGCUAGUUCAGGAGUAUCAAGCUUGGAAAGGAUGGGAUCUAACGAAAAGGUGUCUGUUUCUAGUAGUAGCAAUCCUACUGAAUCUAAUCUCAAUGAUUUUUGUGGUAGUUCAAGAAGACGAAUUAAUCCCCCUUGCCAGCCUCUUACUAUUCCAUCCAAGGUUGACACUACUCCCAUGGAGGCUAAGCUUCUGCAGGAAGUGCAUCCUGCUGAACUUCUUGAGGCCAUACAGCACGGAGAUGCAUCCAAAAAUGGCGAAAAAGCAAUGCAAGCUCUUAAUGAGAGCGCAAAUAAAGCACAAACAAAUGGGGAAAAGAACAUAGAGCCUUUAGUUGCUUCUUCUUCUGUUUGCUCUGGCAAUAGUGUGGAGAAAACUUCGGAUGACCGAGCCCAUGAUUUGAAGAGAAAAUGUCGUGACACUGAGGAGUCGGAAGGUCCUAGUGAAGAAGUUGAAGAAGAAUCUGUCGGUGUAAAAAGACCAGUUCCUGCUCGAGGAGGUACAGGCUCAAAGAGAAGCCGAGCGGCUGAAGUGCAUAAUUUAUCUGAAAGGAGGCGAAGGGAUAGGAUUAAUGAGAAGAUGCGUGCACUACAAGAACUCAUACCAAACUGCAAUAAGGUGGACAAGGCUUCGAUGCUUGAUGAGGCAAUUGAGUAUCUGAAGACACUUCAACUUCAAGUACAGAUAAUGUCAAUGGGAGCUGGUCUUUAUAUGCCACCAAUGAUGUUUCCUCCAGCUAUGCCACACAUGCAUGCAGCUCAUAUGGCGCAUUUUUCACCAAUGGCCAUUGGAAUGGGGGUGGGAAUGGGUAUGCCUGACCUCAGUGCAGGGUCUUCAGGCUGCCCAAUGAUUCAGGUGCCCUCCAGUCAAGGAGCGCAAUCCCCUGUUUCUCCAAUGCCUGGGGCAACUGCUUUUCAUGGGAUGACAGGACGUAACCUUCAGCUGUACGGACUACCUGGUCAAGGACUUCCCAUGAUGAUGCCAUGUUCACCGUUAUACCCCUUGUCUGGAGGGGCAGUUAUGAAACGACCCGUGGGACCAGAUGCCUCUGGAACGGUUGGCCCUAUUCAAAAUCUUGAUCCAGGUUCUUGUUCAAAGGAUGCAAGGCAGAACAUUAACCCACAACCUCAAGUGAUGGAAAACAUUGUUGCCAAUAGCUCAAUGAAUCAGGCAUCUAAGCAGUUAUCUAAAAUUCCAGGGCCUAGCAACAAAUGAAAGCUUGGAACAGCCUACGUUGGUCCAAAAUAAUAGCAAGGCAUUGGAAAUGAACGGAGCUUCUAAUUCUGCGAAUGGAAAUGAUGAUGCAUCUGGCAGUGUAGCUUGCGAGUAUAUGUUAUGAUUGACAUCCGGUUCUGAUCAUGAUGAUGGGAUGAGCGGGAUUCCUUUAGCCCUUCAAUGUAGACUGGAAGUCUGCCUAUUUAUGGAGCCACCGAUGUACGCAGAAGGUUUCUAAGGGUUGCUGAAUGAGGCUGAACGUACCGAGAAGCUGUUAUUCAAAUCUCAGGUGAAUAUACAAGUGAAUAAUGCAAUGUCCAAGAGUUGAAUAAUUCAGAUAUUUGUAUUGAAUUGAGUUUUAUACAUCUCCAAGAACAAAUUCUUAAAAUUAUCGAAAUGAUACCUGCCAUUGACAAA